GGUGCAUGUGAUGAUUAUAUAGCGAUCAAAGCAUGAUAUGCUAUGAUUUCAACUAUAUUACUGAUGCACC